AGAGUUUGAUCCUGGCUCAGGAUAAACGCUGGCGGCGUGCCUAACACAUGCAAGUCGAACGUCCUUUUUUCUCGCGAGGGAAGAGAGGGAGUGGCGGACGGGUGAGUAACACAUGGGUACCUGCCUCACAGUGAGGAAUACCGGCGAGAAAUCGCCGACAAGACCGCAUAGGCUCGGCGGGGGACCCUCCGCUGAGCAAAGCUCUUUCGGGAGCGCUGUGAGAGGGGCCUGUGGCCGAUUAGCUAGCUGGUGGGGUAAGAGCCUACCAGGGCGAUGAUCGGUAGCUGGUCUGAGAGGAUGAUCAGCCACACUGGGAUUGAGAACGGCCCAGACUCCUACGGGGGGCAGCAGUGAGGAAUUUUCGGCAAUGGACGCAAGUCUGACCGAGCAACGCCGCGUGCAGGAUGACCCUUUUCGGAGCGUAAACUGCUUUUCUCGGGGACGAGUAUCGGACGGUACCCGAGCAACAAGCCCCGGCUAACUACGUGCCAGCAGCCGCGGUAAUACGUAGGGGGCGAGCGUUGUCCGGAGUUACUGGGCGUAAAGGGCCCGCAGGCGGUCCUGCAAGUUCCCCCUGACAAUCUUGGGCUUAACCCAGGAGGGUGGAGGAAAACUGCAGGACUUGAGGCAGAAAGAGGGACAGGGAAUUCCGGGUGGAGUGGUGAAAUGCGUAGAUAUCCGGAGGAACACCAAAGGCGAAGGCACUGUCCUGGUUCUGAGCUGACGCUCGGGGGCGAAAGCCAGGGGAGCGAACGGGAUUAGAUACCCCGGUAGUCC
rnacentral:rRNA from 1 species